GGCGAAAGGGAUAGUAACACGUAGAUCACGUACCCUCGGGUCAGGGAUAGCGUCGGGAAACUGACGGUAAUACCAGAUAAUGUCUCCGGACCAAAGAUUUAUUGCCCGAGGAGCGGUCUGCGUCCUAUUAGCUAGUUGGUGGGGUAAAGGCCUACCAAGGCGAAGAUGGGUAGCGGGUGUGAGAGCAUGACCCGCAUCACUGGGACUGAGACACUGCCCAGACACCUACGGGUGGCUGCAGUCGAGAAUCUUCCGCAAUGGACGAAAGUCUGACGGAGCGACGCCGCGUGCGGGAUGAAGGCCUUCGGGUUGUAAACCGCUGUCGUAGGGGAGCAAAUUUUGAGCGAUCCUAGGAGGAAGCACCGGCUAAACUCGUGCCAGCAGCCGCGGUAAUACGAGUGGUGCAAACGUUAUUCGGAAUCACUGGGCUUAAAGGGUGCGUAGGCGGCGAUGAAGGUCUGAUGUGAAAUACCACGGCUCAACCGUGGAAUGGCAUUGGAAACCACAUUGCUGGAGUGAGACAGA
rnacentral:rRNA from 1 species